UCUGUGUAUGCAAUGCUGUGUGUGUGUGUGGAUGUGUGUGUGUGUGUGUAUAUAUGUGCGUGUGUCUAUAUGCACUAAAUGCAAGUCACAACUGGUGGCAAAAGAUGAUAAUUAUGCAUACAUGGCAUUCACAUGUUGAAGUAACAGUGUAGGUCACACAGAGCCUUGUGUACAUGUACUAAAUGUACAUACAUACCUCACCCCUCCCGCAGCAGCCGGGGGUCUCUAACUGUCACUGGUCACUGUUGGAAGAAACAAAUGAACUUAUUAUUGACAUAAGAAUAUCAGUGGAAAUGUCUAGGAUAAGGAGGGAGGUUGUGUUGAUACUGUGUGAGGGAGGUCUAGGGUAAGGAAGGAGGUGUGUGAGGGAGGUCUAGGAUAAGGAGGGAUGUGUGUGAGGGAGGUCUAGGGUAAGGAGGGAAGUGUGUGAGGGAGGUCUAGGGUAAGGAGGGAUGUGUGUGAGGGAGGUCUAGGAUAGGAGGGAAGUGUGUGAGGGAGGUCCAGGAUAAGGAGGGAGGUGUGUGGGGAGUGUGUGAUGGAGGUCUAGGAUCAGGAGGGCAUUGUGUGAGGGAGGUCCAGGAUAUGGAGGGCAGUGUGUGGGCAGUGCAUGAGGGAGGUCAAGGAUAAGGAGGGAGGUGUUUGGGCAGUGUGUGAUGGAGGUCCAGGAUAAGGAGGGAGGUGUGUUGACUGUAAAAUGGCCCACAGGGUAAAGAUGGAGGUGUGUGAAGGUCUCUGAUAAUGAAUUAGGUUUGCCUGUAUGUGUCUGUGUGUGUCAGUGUCUUGGAUAAACAUAAUAUUCGUUAUAUUGGCUUCUAUGCCCUUCCCACCCCCCACUGUGGCUGGUUAAUGUGGAACUGCCUGAAUAUGCAUGAUUGUAAGUUGGAGCACCCACAUUUCACAAACUGUGUUCGCAACACUGUGUUGAAUGGUACAUAUUGUAUUGUAUUAUAUUUAUCAUGUCUCCUUUCCUUCCCAAUAAAUCUUUACCUUGUGAAACUCUU